rnacentral:rRNA from 1 species
AUACGUAGGUGACAAGCGUUAUCCGGAUUUACUGGGCGUAAAGGGCGUGUAGGCGGUCUUGCAAGUCAGAAGUGAAAUUCCUGAGCUCAACUCGGGCGCUGCUUCUGAAACUGCAGGACUUGAGUGCUGGAGGGGAUAGCGGAAUUCCUAGUGGAGCGGUAAAAUGCGCAGAUAUUAGGAAGAACACCGGUGGCGAAGGCGGCUAUCUGGACAGUAACUGACGCUGAGGCGCGAAAGCGUGGGGAGCAAACAGGAUUAGAUACCCUGGUAGUCCACGCUGUAAACGAUGAAUACUAGGUGUGGGGGGACUGACCCCUUCCGUGCCGCAGUUAACACAAUAAGUAUUCCACCUGGGGAGUACGGCCGCAAGGUUGAAACUUAAAGGAAUUGACGGGG